UACGUAGGUGGCGAGCGUUGUCCGGAGUUAUUGGGCGUAAAGCGCGCGCAGGCGGCCCCUUAAGUCUGAUGUGAAAGCCACCGGCUCAACCGGGGAGGGGCAUUGGAUACGGGGAGGCUUGAGUAUAGGAGAGGAGCGUGGAAUUCCACGUGUAGCGGUGAAAUGCGUAGAGAUGUGGAGGAACACCAGUGGCGAAGGCGACUCUUUGGCCUAUAACUGACGCUGAGGCGCGAAAGCGUGGGGAGCAAACAGG
rnacentral:misc_RNA from 1 species